CAUUCAAGUUUCUGACCUAUCAGCUUUCGACGGUAGUGUAUUGGACUACCGUGGCAGUGACGGGUAACGGGGAAUUAGGGUUCGAUUCCGGAGAGGGAGCCUGAGAAACGGCUACCACAUCUAAGGAAGGCAGCAGGCGCGCAAAUUACCCAAUCCUGACUCAGGGAGGUAGUGACAAGAAAUAACAACACUGGAAAUCCAGUUUCUAGUGAUUGGAAU
rnacentral:rRNA from 1 species